GCUUGGCCCUUGUAGCCGCCGUGUUCCGGCUGGCGAAACCCUAGCUUCCUGGUUCGGAUCUAAGUCCAUCGACCCCCCAAAUUUCCCACCGAAUUUCCUGUGUUCCUCCCAAUUGUGUGCAAAUUCAGAGACGGCCCUAACUAGGUCCUGUCAAGGCAUGGUUGUCGUCGCGCCAUCGAAGGCCUCCACGGCGCCCUCUACCAGGUCACCUCUCUCCAAGAUCUCCUUUUUACCCACGUUUUUACCACUCUCCAAGCUCGCACUAUUGCUUCGAAAAAUUCCCUUUGGAAUUGGGGAUGAAGCAAUCGAUUUCGAUUGACUGGCGCCGUGCAUACGACGGGCGUGGGAAGCUGCGGGAGGUGUGCCGCGUUCGAGAGCCGCUGUGGAUUAUCUUCGAGGUGUCAGGCGACAUUCGCCUCGAGACCUACCUCCGGGUUUCUUCCCAUAUGACCAUUGACGGGCGCGGGUAGCGGGUCAGGCCCACCGGCAAGGCGCCGGUAGAUUUCUUAAUCUGCUCGUUAUGGUUCUCCAAGUAUUUUCAGAGAAUAAAACUGGCUGAAGAUGGUGCGUGCAGCUUGCCUCUGAACUUGUGAUGUCCGGCCAUUGCAUCUGGGAGGAGCUCCUCUUCAGGAAGAAUGCCGACACGUACGACACUGCUGCGACUGCCAUUCUCGUCCGCGUUUUGACUACACUUGCAGAGUAGCAUUGAUGUUCUUUAGAAGUACCCUGUGGCCGAGUGUGACAUUUGGUUUAUCAAAUUCUAAUGUGAUUUUCACUUCAAUCAAUUAGCAAUAGGCAACUGCGAAGGCAAAAUCUACAUGUGAGAAGUGCAGAUGAGCCCAGUUGUGCUAAUUACCCGGUAAGUUCAACUAAGCAAGUUCAGCUAUUCCCAAUUUCUCCUCUGCAUGUGGUGGUGGUGCUAGCUACUAACUUCUAUGUUCCUGCAUGUACACUCUCAUAAUUUCCAGGCUGAGUAGUCCGCAACGCAAAUCUUAUGCUUUCUCAUCUUCCCUUGUAAAUUGCCUAAACAUUGAUGAUUGUAAUCCAGCUCUUGAUUAAUGACUGAAUCCCCUGAUUUGAUCCAUAAAAAAAAGACAUGACGCCAUCUUAUUUCUUGAAAAUGUAAAUGCCUAUCUAGAUUCUUUUAGAACAAUUUUUUUACUCGUAUGUCUAGGUUGUGAGUUGUGACUGAGUGUGAUUUGAAUAAUUGUUGUGUAGAAUUUUAGAUUUCUAUAUUUGUUCUUUGACAUAUGAGAGUUACAUUGUGGGAGUAAAUAGGUCAUAGAACAUUGAUUUGAUUUAUCUUCUGACAAUAAGCAUUGUCCUGUAACAAACGUUCAGUAAUGGCAUAAUCGGAUCACAUGCUGUA